AUUGAACACUGGCGGCGUGCCUAAUACAUGCAAGUCGACCUUAGUGGCGAACGGGUGAGUAACACGUGGGUAACCUGCCCAUCAGAAGGGGAAAACACUUGGAAACAGGUGCUCAUACCGUAUACAGCGGGCUGGACCCGCGGGGCAUUAGCUCGUUGGGGAGGUAACGGCUCACCAAGGCCACGCAGCAUAGCCGACCUGAGAGGGUGAGCGGCCAAAUUGUGACUGAGACACGGCCCAAACGCCUACGGUAGGCAGCAGUAGGGAAUCUUCGGCAAGGGACGAAAGUCUUACCGAGCAACGCCGCGUGAGUGAAGAAGGUUUUCGGAUCGUAAAACUCUGUUGUUAGAGAAGCGGUAUCUAACCAGAAAGCCACGGCUAACUACGUGCCAGCAGCCGCGGUAAUAC
rnacentral:rRNA from 1 species